rnacentral:rRNA from 1 species
UACGGGGGGGGCAAGCGUUGUUCGGAAUUACUGGGCGUAAAGGGCUCGUAGGCGGCCAACUAAGUCAGACGUGAAAUCCCUCGGCUUAACCGGGGAACUGCGUCUGAUACUGGAUGGCUAGAGGUUGGGAGAGGGAUGCGGAAUUCCAGGUGUAGCGGUGAAAUGCGUAGAGAUGUGGAGGAACACCAGUGGCGAAGGCGACUCUUUGGUCUGUAACUGACGCUGAGGCGCGAAAGCGUGGGGAGCAAACAGG